GCGUAGGAAACUACCCAGUAGUGGGGGACAAAAAGUGGAAACGACUGCUAAUACCGCAUAAUGUCUACGGACCAAAGGAAGGGAUCUUCGGACCUUUCGCCUUUAGAUUAGCCCAAGUGAGAUUAGCUAGUUGGUGGGGUAAUGGCCUACCAAGGCGACGAUCUCUAGCUGGUUUGAGAGGAUGAUCAGCCACACUGGGACUGAGACACGGCCCAGACUCCUACGGGAGGCAGCAGUGGGGAAUAUUGGACAAUGGGCGCAAGCCUGAUCCAGCCAUGCCGCGUGAGUGAUGAAGGCCUU
rnacentral:rRNA from 1 species